ensembl:lncRNA
GUUUUAAUUCUCCUUGUUGUCCCUGGCAUUAAAAGCAUCUAGCUUUACGGAACCCCACCAACCCCUAAAUACCCUUUUUUCUCCCAACCGGGAUCUAGCUUUUUACCAUUUCCUUAAUGUUUGCACCUAGAAACGCAGCUUAAGUGGCAUUAUGCUAAGUAAUUAUUCUUACAGGAUGUGAAAUGAAACAAAUUUUGCACAGCAUGAAAUUAUUCCUGCCACGUACGGCGUUCGGUGGCAGAUUUUUGAGUUUGGACCACAAACAAGGCUCGGCGGCACGGAGAGGAGGGGGCGGGGAGGAAAACACCACCAAAGAGCCAAGGACUCCAGGCCAGCACUGACUCAGGACAGUCUCCGCUGUUGGCUGUGCUAGGACCCAUCUUUCAUAAAGAGUUUGGAGAGGAACAGACCCGAGACCGGCUUCAGUCUUGGCCCAUCAUUUCAGUACAAAGCACUUUUUGCAUAGUCCUUGCAGUUGCUCGGCCUUGGUUGUGCUGGCUUUUGCACCUCUUUGAACUUAAAUACAAAAUGAGCAUUGGUUUUGGAGAGGGAAUUUGGAUGCUUAGUUUUUCUUGUGUUACUUCUUUCGCAGUGGAGCCUGCUGAGAUAGAGCUUCCAGCCUUUGGGCACUGUGUGGCCCUUGCAGAGGAGAGCUUGGGCCGCAAAGAUUGGUGAUCAAGGGAGAUAGAUAGGAUGGAUGGAAGGAACCCAUUGGACUGUGGUUGGUUGCUCAAGGAGGAAAGUGGCUGCGGAGCCAUGGAGCGUCAAGCGUGAGAUCUGUGAUGUUCUGCUUUCAGCUAUCUCUACUUCCUCAUCACAGAGCAGGCAGCUUUUGGUUUGUGUUUUUUCUUUUUCUUUUCCUUUUUUUUUUCCUAUGCUAUAUUUGCACACAAUUAUAGCAAGAUGCAAAUUAAGACCUCUCCAACCCCAUUUGUCAUUCUUUCUACCUGAUGAACUUCAUGUCAUUAAAAUGAGGACGAGGUGCCCAGAACCUGCCAAUUUCCACUGCAGAUCAGUUGUCAGAAAGCAAAAGCUUCUGUUCCUUUUCUUCAGACGGAUAAGUGAAAUGUGCAAGAGACCAUAAAUGAAGCUGAAAUAAUGGAAGAUCACUCAAAAAUUCUCCACGCUUUGGAAAGACUUAUACUCACAUUUGUAACGCUGAAGAAAGGAGAAUGCUAUGUAAGAAACAGGUUGCAGAAUAAGGACUUCUAUGUCUUAGUCCUAUCACUGCUCUAAACUUCCUGAAAAAAGAGCCCUUACUGGCUGGUCUCUUUCCAGUGAAAUGAAAUUCCUUGUCCCCACUCCAGCAGAGCCACUUGGAGACAGCUUGUGAAAGGCAUUUCUGUCUGUGCAUGCAUGGUGCUGCUGCAUGCCUGGUUUGUGAACAGAAAGGGAAAUGCUUGGAUGGGCUUCCUAAAGAAAACAAAUUAAAAAAAAACACGGUGCAGAGCUCUGAGAGCUGUGACUCCCUGGGCACAGAGAUGGUGUCCUUGCAGGAAGGGUGAUGGGAGCACUCACUGGCCCCACUGGUGCCCCAAAGUGGGAGCACAGAGCCAGUCCUGCUGCUUAGCACAUCUCUGCGAUUUAAGGGUAGUCGAGAGGGAGCUCAGCAGCAGUUUGUUUUUCUCUCCUGACUUUGUCCCAUUGCUGGGGUAUUUUGCUGAUGUGCUGGAGGAUGCUAACACCUUGAUGGGCCCCAUCUGUUCCAGCGAGGAGAGUACAGCUGAAUGCUUCGAGGGUGCCCGGGUGCAGCUUGGGAACGCUCCUUGCUUUAUCCAUGGUGAAGCAGUUGGCAUCGGCCAAGCUCCCUGGCACCCGGAGGGGGGAAAUCCUGAGGUAAAUUCGAG